UUUUUGUAUCUUGGACACAUUUAGUCACAGUUGAUGCCUUUUCUUUGUAGGUUGCGCUUCAUUGAGAGAAAUUUAUUCAAAAUUCUCCCUGUGCAAUUUAAAACUUUUGGGUGUGCCUUUGCCUUCUACAGCCUUUUCCAAUUCGAUUCUUCAGGAUUCGGGCAUGUACUGCUUCUGUUUUGGAGUUUUCUCAUCUUGGAGAAUCUAUGUUGAACCUUUUAGAUGGUAGAUCAAUGGUUCGGUCAAACUCCAGCCUUUAUCAUGCACAGGAUAUGAUGCACUAUCAUAGAAGUUUCGGUAUUUAGUAAAAUAAAUUUGGGUUCACUCUUAUGUUUUACUCAUAUAAUAUUUUUGUCUUUGAUAAAAACGAGGGUUAAUUUCUAAUAUGUGUUAUAUUUGAUUGAAUAGUCACUUUUUGGUUUUUCAAAUUAACUUCUACAAUUGUGUUGUAGUAAACAGUUUAUGUAUUUAUUAAAAUACAUUUCGGUUCA